GUGCCAGCAGCCGCGGUAAUACGUAGGGUGCGAGCGUUAAUCGGAAUUACUGGGCGUAAAGCGAGCGCAGACGGUUAAAUAAGUCAGAUGUGAAAUCCCCGAGCUCAACUUGGGACGUGCAUUUGAAACUGUGUAACUAGAGUGUGUCAGAGGGAGGUAGAAUUCCACGUGUAGCAGUGAAAUGCGUAGAGAUGUGGAGGAAUACCGAUGGCGAAGGCAGCCUCCUGGGAUAACACUGACGUUCAUGCUCGAAAGCGUGGGUAGCAAACAGGAUUAGAUACCCUGGUAGUCCACACCGUAAACGAUGAAUACUAGGUGUUAGGAGGUUUCCGCCUCUUAGUGCCGAAGCAAACGCAUUAAGUAUUCCGCCUGGGGAGUACGGUCGCAAGAUUAAAACUCAAAGGAAUUGACGGGGACCCGCACAAGCGGUGGAUGAUGUGGAUUAA
rnacentral:rRNA from 1 species